GGGCAUGUAGAAGAAGAAAAGAGGAAGGGAGGCAUUAAGAAGGUGUCCUUCAGCAAGAAAGAAAACUCCACUUUUAUUCAUGCAUGCCUCAUCCCCUUUGUCCAUAUUUUUGUCACACAAAAAUAGGUCCCACACCCUUCCUUAUUAGACAUUAUCAUUUUCUUAGUUUGAAUUGAAUUUAAAUAAAAAGAAAGACCAAGAUAAAGAAGGAUGACUAAGGGAUGAGGGGCACCAACUAUUGGCAUCUCUUUUCUAUUCAUGCACACAAGAGCACGUCCCCAUCUCUUCUUAAUUUUUGUUGCACAAAAAUAAAAUCCCACACCCAUAUUAGAUAAGGAUCUGAUCCUAACUUGAAUCAAAUUCAAAAAAAAAGAAAUAAAUCAUGAAGAGAUAGAAUUUCAGAUAAGUGGGGCACCAACUAUUGGCGCCCUUUCUUUUCACGCACACAAGAAGCAAAGGGGAUGCGUCUCCACGCACGCCCUCCCUCCUUUCUGCAUGAGAUCAGGGGAGAGAAGCCCAAAGAAUCUAAACUCUAAGGAUUAGAUUCAAUCUAAUUCAAACUAGAUCCAAAUCAAGCUCAAAUCAAGUCCAAAUCGAAUCGAAUUUGAAAGGCUAUCAAAACUUAUCCAAUCAGGAUUGAAAUCCAAAUCUGAUUUGGAUAAUUAUACCUAAUUAGUAUUAAAUUAAAUCAAAUUCAAUUAAAUUAAAUUUGAUUUAAAUUAAUUAAAAUUUGAUUCAUAAUUUAAUCGAUCCCAAUUAAAUUAUAAUAUUUAUAAUUAAGUCCCCGUACUAACAAUUAGCAGCUAUCAAAACUGUAACACUUACAAAUUAGUAGUUUUCAAAAUUCAAAUUAUCAAUCCAUUUGAUAAUUCGAAUAUGAUCCAAACUAUUGAUCAGGUCAUGCUCCUUUUGUGUGUGACUCCUCAUAUUCUAUUCUAUCUGAUAGUGAGACAUACCAUGAUCUCCACCAUAAUAUCAUCAAAACUCCUUUCGAUGGACUGGAACGAUUUCAACUCACCUCAACAAAGAUCGUUGAUCCGAAAAUGAUCCUAGUGAGUUCUCAUGAUCCACCAGUAUGCCUAACAGUAUAUAGUGGCAACCCAGUAGAAUAAAAGAAUAAAUCUUUAGAUGCAAUUACCGUAUGAUACAGUCCCUCUAUCAAGAGUCCCGACUAGACGAAGGUCAUGAAGAACUCAUCAAUCUGAUCAUCAGUUAUAUGCCAGAUUAACUUGACUCGAGUUCAUUUAUGAAUCUGUAAAAAAAUUUUUUCAGUAUUCACACUUGCUCUGAUCAGAGACUUCCAAAAUUCAGUCUUACGAAUCGCAUAGGACUACUCUUUUUUUAUCAAGAUCGAUAGAUUCCAUCUAGGUGUAUCCUAUUCAAAACAACGAAUCUGAACCUACAAUAGCCAACAUACAUAGCAAGAAUCCGAAUGGCUAAGGAUCAAAAAAAUAUACAGUCAAACUAAGUAGCCUUGCUGCAAAUAGCCAACACACCGUAGGUCAAAAGACUAGUCAUACUACUGCAGCAUCGAGAAAAUCACUGACGAGUGAGUAGACAUCCAAAUGAUUUCUUAUGUUGGUUAUGCUCAGUGCAAAUUAUUCUCUAACAACCACCUGCACUCUCACCCUAGUAUCCUCACAUAGCAGACUCGAGACCUAUCUACCCAGAAGAAAGGUGAUCCGUGCACCGAUCUUAAAUGGAUUGAUUGCUAUUCUCUGUGAUGAUCCUAUAAUUGGAAGUAUUUAAAAAUUAACCACUAAUGAUAUAUGUCUCAAAUUUUUAAUAUCUUGAGAAUAUACAAAAUCAUCUUUGUCAAUUUUUAGGAUAAAUUAUAGAUACAUACUACAUGAUUGGUAAUAAAAAACUGUCUAUCAAGUAUAAAAAUAUAUCUUAAAGAAAUGUAUGCAUCUAUCAAGAUUGGCUUCUAAGCCACACAUCUAACAAACUCUCACUUGCACUAAAGCCUAUCUGCCAUAUACUUGAGCCCUGUCUUCUGAAGAUAGGCUUCGAUCUUUAGCUGGCUAAGUGAUUUGGGCCUACCACAUUCUAUGUAGAGUUUACUCUCUAUAUCUCUAUGUAUUUUUACUCGAGACAAUCAUGCAUAUCCCUGCUCUAUGUGCUUAGACUUCUGGUGAGACCUUGACUCCUUUAGCAAGGACUAUGGACCAUUAUCUUUGCAAUACAAUAUCAUAGCAUCCGAUGGUAUAACAUCCAACUCCGCAACUAUCAUAAGAAUCACAAUGCAUCCUGCAUAUUUACAGCAUACUCAACUUUUAUUAGUCGAUUGCUUGAAAUUUUUUCAACAUACCGAACCAACAUAACUCAAGAAUACAUACUGAUGUGGAUAUUCUACCAUCAGCAUCAGAAUAUCCUAUCACUCUUAGCUCUAACCCUUCUCCAAAGAUCAGAAAUAAACCCUUAGCACUUCUCAAGUACUUAGAAAUAUUUUUACAAUAAUCCAAUACUCUCAGUCUGGAUUCAACUAAUAUCUGCUCGUGACUCUCACAGCAAGAUAUACCAAAUCGAGUACAUAGCAUGGCAUACACCAAUGCCCAAGAGGAUAACAGAUCUCUUUUGGAGGUUUCAAUGUGGAACCCUUUCAGCAUCUCUUCUAUGUACCUAUUUGUAAAAAUCAAACAUCCUUUUAGAUCUAUCUCUAUAGAUUUUUAUUUCAUAAUAUAAGAUGUUUGUACUAAAUUUUUGAUAAAAAUUCUAUAUGCAACUACAUCAUAACCGAUGUCAGUAUGGAACCCUUCCACUGACCUUCAUGUAAACACAUGAUUCUUCCUCAUUUUUGAUAAAAUCAAAUAAUUUGAUUACAUCAUUAAAACAACUAUUCCAACUCUGAGAUUUUUGCUUAAAUCCAUGAAUGAUCUUUGCAGUGUGAUCUCUGUCACUGAAAGUGAAAUUUAUAAGCCACUAUAUAUAAAUAUCUUCUCAAGAUAUCUAUUUAGUAGGGCUAUCUACACAUCUAUUUUUCAAUAUCGACAUUCAACAUUGUCUUGUUGUAGAUUUUUGUGAUCAUCUUUAUGUUUUCAAUCUUCUUUAAAAAAUAUUUUCUCUUAUUCCUCUGUAAGAAUAUGAAAUACCUUUUAGAAGGAUAGAAGAUCCUACUAGAUCUACGAGGUGGAGGAGAUACUACAUAUACUGGCUCAUCAUAAAAAGUUCUACAAUUCAAUGACUCGUUAUUCCUUAAAGACUCUCUCUUUGAAUUCAUCCUCUCACUGUUUUUAAGAAAACAGCAUGAUUGCUCACAAUCACAUUGUGAACCACUGGGAAGAGAAAGUGACAUCCCAAAUCUUUUAGGAUAUCCCACAAACAAGCUCUAAUAGACCUAUUUUCUAACUUGUCUGCCAUACCAUAUUUCAUAUGGUAUAGUGAAACUAACUUUAGAAGGAAUCUAAUUUAAAUUUCAAAAAUUAAAGCUUGUCCCUAAAAAAACAAAGGUUAAAUCAGUAAAGUUCAUAAUAGAUCGGAUCAUAUCUCAUAUAGUGUCAUUCUUCCUCACAGAUAUUCCGUUGAGCUGAAGUGCACUAGGAGGAUUCCAUUAUGAAACUAUGCCAUUUUUUCAAAAUAAUCGUAAAAUUUUUUAUUUGGUAUUACGUCUUCGAUUUAAUCAAAGUAUCUUUAGAAUUUUUUUGAUUUACUUUUCUACUUUACAUCUAAAGUCUUUGAAUCUUUUAAAGAUUUCAGAUUUGUAUUUCAUAUACAUACCUAUAUCAUGACUGAUCACGAAUAAAGGUAAUGAAGUAGAGAUAACCUUCCUCAUCUGGCUCAUUAAAUGGGCCGCACACAUCAAAUAUGUACUAGAAUAAAUAUCUCAACGGUCCUAUCCCUUUAUCCCAUAAAAGAUAGCUUGAUCAUUAAUCCUCAAAGAGAUGAUUCACAGACUAGAUAUGACUCAACAGUCAAUAAGCUCUAAAACUCAUAUUUUUUCAAUUAGUAAAUCAUUUCUUCUCCUAUAUGACCUAACCUAAGGAACCACCUAUACACUUCAGAUUAUUUGAUUUCUUGAUCUCUCAAAUGUAAUGGCAUUCACUGUUUACUCAAAUAAGUUCACAAAUGCAUCAUCAUGCAAAUGAUAGAGAACUAAAUCUAAAUAGUAAUCAUCGAGGUUAGGUGCCCAGGGCUACAAUAUAAUUUUUGCCCCAUUACCGACUCAAAAGAGUCGCUUCACCUUUCCUCAGCCCUCUUACUUUUCUCAAUACACUAGAGUCUAAUACUCAACUAGAAGAAGAAAAAAUCGUAAGAUCAAAUUUUAAUAACUCGACAUAUCUUCCAAAGGUGUGUCUAUGUUUCUUCAGGCUUUCCAAAUAUGUAUCUCUGAACCUUUCAAGGUCCCUUUAGUUACCAAUAUAUUAACCAAUUCAGUUAAGGAGCUAAAAUGUUUAUUCAUAUAAUAGUUUCACAAAUUACCCAUAUAAAUCAAAAAUUUGCAGGAUCAAAUCUAUUAGUAACUCCUUAUGCAUGAUCAUGUCGAACUUCUCAAGCUCUUCAAUAUCCUUGAUCAUUGUCAAAUAGUGAUCAUGGACAAACUGUCCAUCACGCAUCUCAUGUUCUGUGUGACUCUGAUCAUCUCACAACUGUUGUAGAUGAAUCAGCAUAUCAUUAGCAGUCUAUAUGUCCUUAUGCAUACAUUGAAGUUCAUCAAUCAUGGAUUCUAAUUUAUAGCAUCUAAUCUAAUUGUCAAUAUCCAACCAUUUAUCAAAUAUAGCUUGUUGACUAUGGAUUGAGCAAGCUAAUGACAUUGGGUUAACUUGGUCAAAAACAUGGUUUAAUUUCUAAAGGCCAACAACUAUUCUUAGAUUUCUGAGCUAGAAUAUGUAAUUAGUUUUGGUUCAGUGGUUGAUAUCUAGGAUUCGAGCAGAGAGUUGGAAGCUAAAAUAAUUAACCACAAAAGAGUAAAAAUUUAAUUAGAUGAUUGCACUUGUAAAUGUUUGUUCUAGAGACUUUAAAAAUAAACAAAGGCUCUCACUAAUUUUUUCAGUCUCUCACACUCCUCGAGUGGAGAAACAAAAAUUCUAAUGUGAUAAGUAGUUCUAGUGGGUGCUGUGGUCCCUUCGAUAUACGGCACCUCAUCUAACAGUUAUUGAUGACACAUGCAUCAAUGCGUGGACAACUCUUUAUCCAUAUGCUUCUCCAAGCAUAUUGCAGUGACUUAGUUUUUAAGUCCUAUGGCCUCACCUAAUAGUUCUUGACAUAUUUUUUAGUUAAGUUUGACCUACCAUUCACUAAUGAGUACAAAGCCAUCAUUGGAUCCCUCACCUAACAGUUAUUGGGUCCAACCCCAUCUUUACCUCGGGACAUCUAAUACCAAUAGAGUGGUUGUGCCUUUCCGAUGCAACCGGACCACUGUAACCAUUCGAGAACGAUCAAUACCGAAAAAGGCACCCACAUCUCUACAACAGUAAAAGACCAAUAGACUUAAUAUUUAGUGAGGAGAUUUAGGUUUAGAUCUUUUCUAAUAGUUACAUACAUUUGAUGUAGAUGAUUAAUCUGAUUUAAAUUAGCACAUCAUCUCAUAUCUGACCAAUCUAAUCAGUAUGGGUGAACUCGAGUCAACAAAAAAUCUAAUAUAAAAUAUAAUUUCUCAAAAUGAUCAGGUAAGUAAAGAUGAGUGGGGGUUUCUCCAUUGCUUUCUUAGAUACCAACAAAUUAGCUAGAUCAGACAACAGAACCAAUUAAAGAACCACCAUCUAAGACUUAUCUUGGACAUCAAAUUGGUUGAUUAGAAUCAAUCCAAUUAACCUAUAGACUCGGGCUUGAACCAUUGAGCUAAAUUUGGUCUUGAUUUAAUCAAUUCAUAUCACAUGUGAAUCAAUUUGAUCAACUACAACUAAACUCAAUUUUGAGCCCCUUUGACCUAAUCCUAACCAACUUUUGAUUAGAUUCGAUCAACUACCCAAAAUCAGAAAGGAUUCUAGCCUGAUCUAAUCAAUAACCCUAAUUGUAGUUUAGUCUCUAGACCUAAUUUGUUCAACACAUACCAAAAUCCAUAUUUUAUGCAUUAAAAUUUAGAUCUUAAAUUCAUAAUUUUAGAUCUUUUAAUUUUAAAUUUUAAUUUUUAAUUAGGGGCAUUAUGAAUAUAGAUUUUAGUUUAGAUGUCAAAAUAAUUUCUGAUCUAAACUAUUUGUAUUGUAUCUCAUAUAAUUUUAUUGUUUGCAGAAUCAAGUCGACUCGCUUUGGUACUUGAGUCGACUUGUCAUAGUGAGAUGACUCAACAUUGAGACAAAAAGAAAUUGAUAAAUCUAGCUUGUACUAUUGACUUAGCUCAUCAGCAAAUAAGCUAAUCCAUCAGGAUCUCGAGUUGACUCCAACAAAAAUAAAUCCACUCGCCAAGCACUCAAGUCAACCCAAAUAAGAAUCGAGUCGACUCCACAGGUGUGCCAGUUACAGUUUUAUAGUUUUAUGUAAAUAGAAUUUAAGAUUUUUGGAUCUAAAAUUUUGUAAUUUAUAUGUUUCAGAUCAUGUGUCAAAAACUAUAUAUCACAUAUAUCAUUUACUGAUCUAAAACACAUAUCUUAAUACAUGCAUAAAUAAAUCUAAAUCUAAAAUAUGUAUUACAUAUAAUUUUUCUUUUGCUGUUCAUCUUCAUAGGAAAUAUUACAAUCAGCAUCCCUACACGUCAUAAGAGAACCCGUUGAAUGAGCGAUAGAGGGAUUUUAAUCACUUCUUCCUCUUAUGAUUAGAUGGCCAUGGUGAUUAUCCCAAUUCGAUUACUAAGCUACUAAAAGAUUAAUCUAACAUAUCAUGUAUGUAAUCAAUUAAAAUUUGAAUCUAAUUAUCUUUCACAUGUCAAAUAUAUAAUAAUAAUUUAAAUCUAUGCAUACAAGCAUAUAUCGCAUAUAUGAAAUAAUUUUAGCAACCAUACUAGAUCCAAAUUAAACCCUAAUUAACGUAUUCAGAUCUGAAACUAAUUUCAGAUCUGAAUUACUCAUGAUUUUUUUUAAAUCUAAAAUAAUUUUAGAUCCAAAACAAUCCUGUAAUCACAUUACAACAUGCAAAAAUUUAAGAUCUACCAUUAAUUAAUGUUCUACACCGUUCUAAGAUAACCUUUUAGCAUAAUAGAAUUAUGCCAAAACAACCUUAUUUCAGAACGAUGUCUAGCAUCUAACUAAUCUUUAGAUCUAAUUUCUGUAAAUCAAAUUUUAGAUCUAAGGAAUUUUAUGUUCGUAUCAGAACCUGUGGCUCUGAUACCAUUGUUAGAAAGCAGUGGUUUCAUAUGUGUAGUUUAAAAUAUUUUCAUAAAUAUUUUAUGUGCAGUGAAAGUAAAUUAAAUUAAAAUCUUUUAAUUUAAAAUACACCAGAUCUCAUCUGUAAAUCACGUACUAGAUCUUGAUGCGAACAUAUCACCAUGAUCUAAAAUCUAAAAUCAAAAAUAAAAAUCAUCAGAAAAAAAAUCAAACAUCUAAUCUCCAUACUUUCGGAUCCUGUAGAUAUCCAGGGUUCAAGUCGUAGCUACGCAAGCUUCCGACCUCUGCUGGUAUCCACAUGAAGAUAUCUGAUCAAAGCACCAAGACUACCGAUGUGCUAGCACCUAGCAGGCCUCGCUUCUCAACUUUGGAUCUAAAUCCUCUUCUAGAACUCGAAGAAGAUGAAAGGUUCGCGCAGAUCUAAAGGGCUCUGAACCAGACCAUCAUGAAGAGAAGAAGAACCUUUCUUCUUCUCUUCCUCUCUCCAAAAUCUCUCUUUUAGAUCUGAUCUCAUCAGAUCAUGGGGCGUGUAGAAGAAGAAAAGUGGAAGGGAGGCAUUAAGAAGGUGCCCUUUGGCAAGAAAGAAAACUCCUCUUUUAUUCGCGCACGCCUCACCCCUUUCUCCAUAUUUUUGUCACACAAAAAUAGGUCCAACGCCCUUCCUUUUCAGAUAUUAUCUCUUUCUUAAUUUGAAUCAAAUUCAAAUAGAAAGAGAGACCAAGAUAAGGAAGGAUGACUAAUAGAUGAGGGGCGCCAACUAUUGGCAUCCCUUUUCUAUUCAUUCACACAAGAGCGCAUCUCCUUCUCUUCUUAAUUUUUGUCUCACAUAAAUAAAAUCCCACAUCCAUAUUAGAUAAGGAUCUGAUCUUAAUUUGAAUCAAAUUCAAAAGAAAAAAGAAAUAAAUCAUCAAGAGAUAGAAUCCCAGAUGAGUGGGGCACCAACUAUUGGCGCCCUUUCCUUUCA
rnacentral:lncRNA from 1 species